rnacentral:rRNA from 1 species
CAUGUUUUUUUGAUUUAUGAUUUAAAAUUUAAUCUGCCCAUAUGAUUUUAUAUUUAAUGGCCGCAGUAUUUUGACUGUGCAAAGGUAGCGUGAUAAUUAGUUUCUUAAUUGGGAGCUGGUAUGAAUGAUUAGACGAGAAAGAUUCUGUCUUUAUUUUAAGAAUUAAAUUUUAUUUUUUAGUUAAAAAGCUUAAAUAAUUUUAAGGGACGAGAAGACCCUAUAGAGUUUUAUAUAAUUAUUUAUUUUUAUUGUUGGUAUUUUUUAUUAAAUAUUUAUUUGUAUUUAAUUGGGGUGAUUAGAAGAUUAGUUUAAUUCUUUUUUUAUUAAACAAUGAUUUUUGAUUUUUUGAUCUAUAUUUAAUUGAAAGUUUAAAUUACCUUAGGGAUAACAGCGUAAUUUUUUAUAGAGUUCUUAUCAAAAUAAGAGAUUGCGACCUCGAUGUUGGAUUAAAAUUAAUUUAAGGUGAAGAAGCUUUAAGUUUAGGUCUGUUCGACCUUUAAUAUUUUACAUGAUCUGAGU